rnacentral:rRNA from 1 species
GACGAACGCUGGCGGCGUGCUUAACACAUGCAAGUCGAACGGAAAGGCCCCCUUGUGGGGUACUCGAGUGGCGAACGGGUGAGUAACACGUGAGUAACCUACCCUUGACUUUGGGAUAACUUCAGGAAACUGGGGCUAAUAUCGGAUAGGAGCUCCUGCUGCAUGGUGGGGGUUGGAAAGUUUCGGCGGUUGGGGAUUGACUCGCGGCUUAUCAGCUUGUUGGUGGGGUAGUGGCUCACCAAGGCUUUGACGGGUAGCCGGCCUGAGAGGGUGACCGGCCACAUUGGGACUGAGAUACGGACCAGACUCCUACGGGAGGCAGCAGUGGGGAAUAUUGCACAAUGGGCGGAAGCCUGAUGCAGCAACGCCGCGUGCGGGAUGACGGCCUUCGGGUUGUAAACCGCUUUCGCCUGUGACGAAGCGUGAGUGACGGUAAUGGGUAAAGAAGCACCGGCUAACUACGUG